GGCUCAGAUUGAACGCUGGCGGCAUGCUUUACACAUGCAAGUCGAACGGUAACAGGGAGCUUGCUCGCUGACGAGUGGCGAACGGGUGAGUAAUGCAUCGGAACGUGCCCAGUCGUGGGGGAUAACUACUCGAAAGAGUGGCUAAUACCGCAUACGAUCUCUGGAUGAAAGCGGGGGACCUUCGGGCCUCGCGCGAUUGGAGCGGCCGAUAUCAGAUUAGGUAGUUGGUAGGGUAAAAGCCUACCAAGCCUGCGAUCUGUAGCUGGUCUGAGAGGACGACCAGCCACACUGGAACUGAGACACGGUCCGGACUCCUACGGGAGGCAGCAGUGGGGAAUUUUGGACAAUGGGCGAAAGCCUGAUCCAGCAAUGCCGCGUGCAGGACGAAGGCCUUCGGGUUGUAAACUGCUUUUGUACGGAACGAAAAGGUAGCUCCUAAUACGAGCUGCCGAUGACGGUACCGUAAGAAUAAGCACCGGCUAACUACGUG
rnacentral:rRNA from 1 species